UUGAAGAGUUUGAUCAUGGCUCAGAUUGAACGCUGGCGGCAGGCCUAACACAUGCAAGUCGAACGGUAGCACAGAGAGCUUGCUCUCGGGUGACGAGUGGCGGACGGGUGAGUAAUGUCUGGGAAACUGCCUGAUGGAGGGGGAUAACUACUGGAAACGGUAGCUAAUACCGCAUAACGUCGCAAGACCAAAGAGGGGGACCUUCGGGCCUCUUGCCAUCAGAUGUGCCCAGAUGGGAUUAGCUAGUAGGUGGGGUAAUGGCUCACCUAGGCGACGAUCCCUAGCUGGUCUGAGAGGAUGACCAGCCACACUGGAACUGAGACACGGUCCAGACUCCUACGGGAGGCAGCAGUGGGGAAUAUUGCACAAUGGGCGCAAGCCUGAUGCAGCCAUGCCGCGUGUAUGAAGAAGGCCUUCGGGUUGUAAAGUACUUUCAGCGGGGAGGAAGGUGUUGUGGUUAAUAACCACAGCAAUUGACGUUACCCGCAGAAGAAGCACCGGCUAACUCCGUGCCAGCAGCCGCGGUAAUACGGAGGGUGCAAGCGUUAAUCGGAAUUACUGGGCGUAAAGCGCACGCAGGCGGUCUGUCAAGUCGGAUGUGAAAUCCCCGGGCUCAACCUGGGAACUGCAUUCGAAACUGGCAGGCUAGAGUCUUGUAGAGGGGGGUAGAAUUCCAGGUGUAGCGGUGAAAUGCGUAGAGAUCUGGAGGAAUACCGGUGGCGAAGGCGGCCCCCUGGACAAAGACUGACGCUCAGGUGCGAAAGCGUGGGGAGCAAACAGGAUUAGAUACCCUGGUAGUCCACGCCGUAAACGAUGUCGACUUGGAGGUUGUGCCCUUGAGGCGUGGCUUCCGGAGCUAACGCGUUAAGUCGACCGCCUGGGGAGUACGGCCGCAAGGUUAAAACUCAAAUGAAUUGACGGGGGCCCGCACAAGCGGUGGAGCAUGUGGUUUAAUUCGAUGCAACGCGAAGAACCUUACCUACUCUUGACAUCCAGAGAACUUAGCAGAGAUGCUUUGGUGCCUUCGGGAACUCUGAGACAGGUGCUGCAUGGCUGUCGUCAGCUCGUGUUGUGAAAUGUUGGGUUAAGUCCCGCAACGAGCGCAACCCUUAUCCUUUGUUGCCAGCGGUCCGGCCGGGAACUCAAAGGAGACUGCCAGUGAUAAACUGGAGGAAGGUGGGGAUGACGUCAAGUCAUCAUGGCCCUUACGAGUAGGGCUACACACGUGCUACAAUGGCGCAUACAAAGAGAAGCGACCUCGCGAGAGCAAGCGGACCUCAUAAAGUGCGUCGUAGUCCGGAUUGGAGUCUGCAACUCGACUCCAUGAAGUCGGAAUCGCUAGUAAUCGUAGAUCAGAAUGCUACGGUGAAUACGUUCCCGGGCCUUGUACACACCGCCCGUCACACCAUGGGAGUGGGUUGCAAAAGAAGUAGGUAGCUUAACCUUCGGGAGGGCGCUUACCACUUUGUGAUUCAUGACUGGGGUGAAGUCGUAACAAGGUAACCGUAGGGGAACCUGCGGUUGGAUCACCUCCUU
rnacentral:rRNA from 1 species